GGAUAAAUAAUUAAUCCGCUCAUCUUAGAGUAUUCUAACUCACUUACUAAUUAAUAGCCUCAUUCUAAAUUAAUCAAUAAUUAGAAUUAGCUCAAUUUAAUUAAUAGAUUAAUCUAGGCUAUCCUUAAAUUGGGCCUGAUUUUAAGACCAAAAAAAAAAAUAAUGGCAGUCCAAAUAAAAAUAAAUUCUAGCCCAAACUAAUUAAAUACAGCCCAUUAUCAAUUUAGAUAUGUAGCCCACAUAAUUAAAAUGAAUUGGCCCAAAGAAAAUAAAAUACAAGACCCAAAUGAAUUAAUAAAAGGCCCAAGUCAUAGCCCAAACACUAAAAUAAUAAAGCCCAAAGAAUUAAAAAUAAAGGCCCAAUCUCUCUUUCUCCAAAUUCUCGGUUCUCUCUCUUUCUACUCAAUCUCUCUCU
rnacentral:lncRNA from 1 species